GCCCGAUUAGCUCAGCUGGUUAGAGCGUCGUACUAAUAUCAGCAAUGAUAUCAAGUCAUGCGAAGGUCAACAGUUCAAUCCUGUUAUUGGGCA